ensembl:lncRNA
AUGUUCUUUCUUGGUAUGCAGUCUGUUGUCAUGGUAAUAGGACUGAUGUUAUUCACCAGGUUUCACAAUAAUGUUCUUUCUUCAGCCAUAGUACAGCACCCCUGGUGCAAAUUAGGGUUAAGUGCCUUGCGCAAGGGCACAUUAACAGAUUAUUCACCUUGUCGGCUCGGGUAUUCAAACCGUCAACCUUUCGGUUACUGGCCCAACACUCUAACCACUAGGCUACCUGCCACCCUUUAUGAUGGACACACAAAUCAAAUCAGAGUUUGUCACGUACACAGAUAUAUAUGAAAAAGAUAUGCUUGUUUCUAGCUCCAAAAGUGCAGUACUACACAUAUAAACCAAAAAGUAAUAGAAAGAAUGUAAGAAAUAUCAGAACGAGUAAAGUCAUAGUCUGGAAUAUACAGUGUGUGUGCACUACUUGUCAGUAGUUUUAGAACACCUACUCAUUCAAGGGUUUUUCUAUAUUUUGACUAUUUUCUACAUUGUAGAAUAAUAGUGAAGACAUCAGAACUAUUAAAUAACACAUAUGGAAUAAUGUGGUAACCAACAAGUUGUUAAACAAAAUUGAUUCGUUUAACACCUUUUUGUUUGCUACAUGAUUCCAUAUGUGUUAUUUCAUAGUUCUGAUGUCUUCACUAUUAUUUUGGUUACUACCUGAAUGCCAACCGUCACGUCUGGAGGAAACCUGGCACCAUCCCUACGGUGAAGCAUGGUGGUGGCAGCAUCACGCUGUGGGGAUGUUUUUCCGUGGCAGGGACUGGGAGACUAGUCAGGAUUGAGGGAAAGAUGAAUGGCGCAAAGUGCAGAGAGAUCCUUGAUGAAAACCUGCUCCAGAGCGCUCAGGAACUUAGACUGGGACGAAGAUUCACCUUCCAACAGGACAACAACCCUAAGCACACAGCCAAGACAACGCAGGAGUGUCUUUGGGACAAGUCUCUGAAUGUCCUUGAGUGGUCCAGCCAGAAGCCGGACUUGAACCCGAUCGAACAUCUCUAGAGAGACCUGAAAAUAACUGUGCAGCGACGCUCCCCAUCCAACCUGACAGAGCUUGAGAGGAUCUGCAGAGAAGAACGGUAGAAACUCCCCAAAUACAGGUGUAACAAGCUUGUAGCAUCAUACCCAAGAAGACUCAAGGCUGUAAUCACUGCCAAAGGUGCUUCAACAAAGUACUGAGUAAAGGGUCUGAAUACUUAUGGAAAUUGGAUUUUUCUGUUGUAUUUUCAUGCAUUGGCAAAAAUGUUGAAAAACCUGUUUUUACUUUGUCAUUAUAUUGUGAUGUCAUUAUGGGGUAUUGUGUGUAGAUUGAUGAGGGGGAUUUUUUGUUUAAAUCAAUUUUAGAAUAAGGCUGUAAGGUAACAAAAUGUUGAAAAUGUCAAAGGGUCUGAAUACUUUCCGCAGGCACUGUGUGUGUGUGUGUGUGUGUGUGUGUGUGUGUGUGUGUGUGUAUAUAUAUAUAAUAUAUAUAAUGGUGUGUAUUGCACUCUGUGUGUGUGUAUAUAUAUAAUAUAUAUAAUGGUGUGUGUGUGUGUGUGUGUGUAUAUAUAAUGGUG